CCUGCGCCCCGGUGUCCUGAGCGCCGCGGCCGCCCGCGCCUGUGGGAGAGUCUUUCUCUACCAUUCCUACAGUGGUUGCGAGGUACCGUUUCUUCCUCACUCUGCAUGUACCAUGCCAGUGACAUCUUAGCUGCUAGAGUGUGGAGCUGGCCUGUGGGAGUCAAGUAUUGAUGGUGUGACCUGUUCACGCAGGGGAAACUUGAACAUUUACAGGUCACUAGCCCAUUUGGGGAGCCUCUUAGGAGAAAGUGCGUCAUACACUGAAUGACUGUUGGCCUUGAACUUACUGUGUAACCCAGGCUGGCCUCCAA